rnacentral:rRNA from 1 species
CCUACGGGAGGCUGCAGUAGGGAAUCUUCCACAAUGAACGAAAGUCUGAUGGAGCAACGCCGCGUGCGUGAAGAAGGGUUUCGGCUCGUAAAGCUCUGUUGGUAGUGAAGAAAGAUAGAGGUAGUAACUGGCCUUUACUUGACGGUAAUUACUUAGAAAGUCACGGCUAACUACGUGCCAGCAGCCGCGGUAAUACGUAGGUGGCAAGCUUUGUCCGGAGUUAUUGGGCGUAAAGCGAGUGCAGGCGGUUCAAUAAGUCUGAUGUUAAAGACAUCGGGUCAACCGGAAAAUUGCAUCAGAAACUGGUGAACUUGAGUGAAGAAGAGGAGAGUGGAACU